rnacentral:rRNA from 1 species
UAUCAAUAAGCGGAGGAAAAGAAACUAACAAGGAUUCCCCUAGUAACGGCGAGUGAAGCGGGAAGAGCUCAAAUUUAAAAUCUGGCGGUGUAUUCCGUCCGAGUUGUAGUCUAGAGAAGCAUCAUCCGCGCCGGACCAUGUACAAGUCUCUUGGAACAGAGCGUCAUAGAGGGUGAGAAUCCCGUCCUUGACAUGGACUCCCGGUGCUUUGUGUUGUGCUCUCAACGAGUCGAGUUGUUUGGGAAUGCAGCUCAAAAUGGGUGGUAAAUUCCAUCUAAAGCUAAAUAUUGGCGAGAGACCGAUAGCGAACAAGUACCGUGAGGGAAAGAUGAAAAGCACUUUGGAGAGAGAGUUAAACAGUACGUGAAAUUGUUGAAAUGGAAACGCUUGAAGUCAGUCGCGUUCUCUGGGAUUCAGCCUGGCUUCUGCCUGGUGCAUUUCCUAGUCUACGGGCCAGCAUGAAUUUCGACCGAUAGAAAAGGGCUUGAGGAAUGUGGCACCUUCGGGUGUGUUAUAGCCUCUUGUCGUAUGUGUCGGUUGGGAUUGAGG